UCCCAGGACGGGUGAAGGCCAGCCAGUAACUGAAGAUCUCAGGCCCUGAAGCAUUAUUUCAACUGAAGAAGAGCAUUUCCUAAUCACCAUACCCAAGUGCUGCAAAGCCAUCUCAUUUCCCAUCUAGUGAAGUCUUAUAACAGUUGCCAAGAACCUAUCCAUUGUCCUUCAUCCUCAGACUACAUUUUCUAGUUGGUGAGGUCCACCUCAGGCCUUUGUCUGACCUCACGUGGGGCUUAAAUAUAAACCAGGGAAGAUUAUUAUCACCCUGCAAAAUAAAAUCUGUGCAUGGGACCCUUGGGUUGCAUAUCUUCCAGAGUAUAUCAUCACACAAGUCCAUUCUUAUUUCUGUUCUGAUACUAUCAGUGUUCACUCCCACAUGGAUGGAUGGAAAAGGACUGCAGUCAUUAACAAGAGUUCUUUUCCACUGGGAGUACAAUGAAGAAAGAACAAUAAGGGAACUGAAAUGUCAUGGGUCAUUAUAAGAGAGUGCAGUUAAGAAGCAACUAAGCACUGCAGAAUGGGUUUUCUCUGUGACUUUGGAAGUUGUCCUGGAACUAGCUC